AGUGAACGCUGGCGGCAGGCCUAAUGCAUGCAAGUCGAACGGCAGCACAGCAGAGCUUGCUCUGUGGGUGGCGAGUGGCGGACGGGUGAGGAAUACAUGGGAAUCUGCCCAGUCGUGGGGGAUAACGUAGGGAAACUUACGCUAAUACCGCAUGCGCCCUUCGGGGGAAAGCCGGGGACCUUCGGGCCUGGCGCGAUUGGAUGAGCCCAUGUCGGAUUAGCUAGUUGGCGGGGUAAUGGCCCACCAAGGCGACGAUCCGUAGCUGGUCUGAGAGGAUGAUCAGCCACACUGGAACUGAGACACGGUCCAGACUCCUACGGGAGGCAGCAGUAGGGAAUAUUGGACAAUGGGCGCAAGCCUGAUCCAGCCAUGCCGCGUGAGUGAAGAAGGCCCUCGGGUUGUAAAGCUCUUUUGUCCGGAAAGAAAA
rnacentral:rRNA from 1 species